GACGAACGCUGGCGGCGUGCUUAACACAUGCAAGUCGAACGGAAAGGCCCUGCUUUUGUGGGGUGCUCGAGUGGCGAACGGGUGAGUAACACGUGAGUAACCUGCCCUUGACUUUGGGAUAACUUCAGGAAACUGGGGCUAAUACCGGAUAGGAGCUCCUGCUGCAUGGUGGGGGUUGGAAAGUUUCGGCGGUUGGGGAUGGACUCGCGGCUUAUCAGCUUGUUGGUGGGGUAGUGGCUUACCAAGGCUUUGACGGGUAGCCGGCCUGAGAGGGUGACCGGCCACAUUGGGACUGGGAUACGGCCCGGACUCCUACGGGAGGCAGCAGUGGGGAAUAUUGCACAAUGGGCGGAAGCCUGAUGCAGCAACGCCGCGUGCGGGAUGACGGCCUUCGGGUUGUAAACCGCUUUCGCCUGUGACGAAGCGUGAGUGACGGUAAUGGGUAAAGAAGCACCGGCUAACUACGU
rnacentral:rRNA from 1 species